CUGAUCCAGCCAUGCCGCGUGAGUGAUGAAGGCCUUCGGGUUGUAAAGCUCUUUCAGUGGGGAAGAUAAUGACGGUACCCACAGAAGAAGCCCCGGCUAACUCCGUGCCAACAGCCGCGGUAAUACGGAGGGGGCUAACGUUGUUCGGAAUUACUGGGCGUAAAGCGCACGUAAGCGGAUUGGAAAGUCGGGGGUGAAAUCCCCGGGCUCAACCCGGGAACUGCCUUCGAUACUGCAACUCUUAAGUUCGAUAGAGGAUAGUGGAAUUCCCAGUGUAAAGGUGAAAUUCGUAUAUAUUCGGAGGAACACCAUUGGCGAAGGCGGCUAACUGGAUCGAUACUGACGCUGAGGUGCGAAAGCGUGGGGAGCAAACAGGAUUAAAUACCCUGGUAGUCCACCCCGUAAACGAUGAAUGCUAGACGUCGGGUAGAUUGAAAUUCGGUGUCACACCUAACGCAUUAAGCAUUCCCCCUGGGGAGAACAGUCCCAAGAUGACAACUC
rnacentral:rRNA from 1 species